UUUAUAAACAUCCAUGGCACCCCACACGGCAUUCUUGCUUCCUUCCCCAUGAGGGUCAUUCAAGCAUCUCAGCUGUCCUGACAUCCAGGUUUUCAUUUACCUGUUUUGCAAUGCAAGGUAGUCUGAGAAAGGACUCAAGUUCAGGGCUGUGGCGGGGCGGAGAUUGCUGUGGCUAAAUUUCUCCAGCCUGCUGGACCAGGAUAAGCAGGUCAUAAUGGAUUCCCUGUUUGACGCGUCAUGGGCUAAGGACUUAUUUGGGUAGGCUGUUACCUCUAUGCAGCAGGCUAGAGACCUGAGGAAGAAGCAAGGGGAUGCCUUCGAUCCUUGCCUUUCCCGCAAGACAACAAGCAAUGGCAGUGAGAGGGUGCAUCGAGAGCUUCAUAAGCCCCUAAUUCCAGACACCUGAGCAGCCAACGACCCGCCAGCAUGGUGUCCAGGGCCUAAAGCACUGGGGCAAAAAGUCUUCUGCCACUUCCACUGCCAGGUCGCAGAGCACAAAAUUAACUUUUGUCCUGCAACUGUCCCAAAUUGUACUUUCAUUCUACAUAAUAAAUAUAGUUUAAUAACUUUGCUUCAGUAA